rnacentral:rRNA from 1 species
GACGAACGCUGGCGGCGUGCUUAACACAUGCAAGUCGAACGGAAAGGCCCUGCUUUUGUGGGGUGCUCGAGUGGCGAACGGGUGAGUAACACGUGAGUAACCUGCCCUUGACUUUGGGAUAACUUCAGGAAACUGGGGCUAAUACCGGAUAGGAGCUCCUGCUGCAUGGUGGGGGUUGGAAAGUUUCGGCGGUUGGGGAUGGACUCGCGGCUUAUCAGCUUGUUGGUGGGGUAGUGGCUUACCAAGGCUUUGACGGGUAGGCGGCCUGAGAGGGUGACCGGCGACAUUGGGACUGAGGUACGGACCAGAGGGCUACGGGAGGCAGCAGUGGGGAAUAUUGCACAGUGGGCGGGAGCCUGAGGCAGAAACGCCGCGUGCGGGAUGACGGCCUUCGGGUUGUAAACCGCUUUCGCCUGUGACGAAGCGUGAGUGACGGUAAUGGGUAAAGAAGCACCGGCUAACUACGUG